ACAAUAUACUGUGGUAACCCUAAGUAGAUAAGGAUGUUUAGACUUUAAGAUGCCAUCUUGAACUAAGUCAGGAAAAUUUCCAUGACGUAUGCACCCUUUAGUUAUGGCCUUGUAUGUUUGCCAAAUUAAGGGAGGUCUUAAAAUGAAUAAAGUAAAAGAAGUGUUACUUUUUCAUAUAUGAACUACGGUAACCCUAAAAUGGAGACACCUAAGGUAUAAAUAGGUGCACUUUUAAAUGUUAAGAAACAGAGGGGAGACUUGGAGACAGACGCUGCUCCAAAUUUAAAUGACAGAGAGGCUAACAUGAUGACAUGUUCAAAAGGGUAUGUUAACCUAUUAAUGAUAUUUG